AUGCAGCCCAGGCUGGCCUCGAACUCACAGCGAUUCUCCUACCUCAGCCUCCGGAGUGCUGGGAUUACAGGCGUGCGCCACUACACCCGGCUCUCUGCAAUUGUUACUGAAAGCCAUAUUUUGAAUCUCCUGGUCAUCUUGUCCUGUCUGAUGAGAAGGCACAGGGGUGGCUCAUGUAUCCCAGACCUGGUAUUCUGCUCUGAGGGGGACCUGAGGAUGCUCAGAGAUACAGGCUCUUCUCCAUUGGUAGGUGAGUGUCUAAAGAAAGAAAAGCUGCCCAUACAAAUGGCUGAGCCAGCAGAAAGGAGAGCCCCAAGUGCACUUGGCAUGGGAUGGAUCCAGCAAAGGCAGCAGUGAUGAGAAACCCCUGCUUCUAAAUGGUGUCAGGAUCUACAGAAGCCUGUCACCUAUUAGGGCUGUGUCAGCCAUUGUCAGGGCCCUGC
rnacentral:lncRNA from 1 species